rnacentral:rRNA from 2 species
AGAGUUUGAUCCUGGCUCAGGAUGAACGCUGGCGGCGUGCCUAAUACAUGCAAGUCGAGCGAACGGACGAGAAGCUUGCUUCUCUGAUGUUAGCGGCGGACGGGUGAGUAACACGUGGAUAACCUACCUAUAAGACUGGGAUAACUUCGGGAAACCAGAGCUAAUACCGGAUAAUAUUUUGAACCGCAUGGUUCAAAAGUGAAAGACGGUCUUGCUGUCACUUAUAGAUGGAUCCGCGCUGCAUUAGCUAGUUGGUAAGGUAACGGCUUACCAAGGCAACGAUGCAUAGCCGACCUGAGAGGGUGAUCGGCCACACUGGAACUGAGACACGGUCCAGACUCCUACGGGAGGCAGCAGUAGGGAAUCUUCCGCAAUGGGCGAAAGCCUGACGGAGCAACGCCGCGUGAGUGAUGAAGGUCUUCGGAUCGUAAAACUCUGUUAUUAGGGAAGAACAUAUGUGUAAGUAACUGUGCACAUCUUGACGGUACCUAAUCAGAAAGCCACGGCUAACUACGUGCCAGCAGCCGCGGUAAUACGUAGGUGGCAAGCGUUAUCCGGAAUUAUUGGGCGUAAAGCGCGCGUAGGCGGUUUUUUAAGUCUGAUGUGAAAGCCCACGGCUCAACCGUGGAGGGUCAUUGGAAACUGGAAAACUUGAGUGCAGAAGAGGAAAGUGGAAUUCCAUGUGUAGCGGUGAAAUGCGCAGAGAUAUGGAGGAACACCAGUGGCGAAGGCGACUUUCUGGUCUGUAACUGACGCUGAUGUGCGAAAGCGUGGGGAUCAAACAGGAUUAGAUACCCUGGUAGUCCACGCCGUAAACGAUGAGUGCUAAGUGUUAGGGGGUUUCCGCCCCUUAGUGCUGCAGCUAACGCAUUAAGCACUCCGCCUGGGGAGUACGACCGCAAGGUUGAAACUCAAAGGAAUUGACGGGGACCCGCACAAGCGGUGGAGCAUGUGGUUUAAUUCGAAGCAACGCGAAGAACCUUACCAAAUCUUGACAUCCUUUGACAACUCUAGAGAUAGAGCCUUCCCCUUCGGGGGACAAAGUGACAGGUGGUGCAUGGUUGUCGUCAGCUCGUGUCGUGAGAUGUUGGGUUAAGUCCCGCAACGAGCGCAACCCUUAAGCUUAGUUGCCAUCAUUAAGUUGGGCACUCUAAGUUGACUGCCGGUGACAAACCGGAGGAAGGUGGGGAUGACGUCAAAUCAUCAUGCCCCUUAUGAUUUGGGCUACACACGUGCUACAAUGGACAAUACAAAGGGCAGCGAAACCGCGAGGUCAAGCAAAUCCCAUAAAGUUGUUCUCAGUUCGGAUUGUAGUCUGCAACUCGACUACAUGAAGCUGGAAUCGCUAGUAAUCGUAGAUCAGCAUGCUACGGUGAAUACGUUCCCGGGUCUUGUACACACCGCCCGUCACACCACGAGAGUUUGUAACACCCGAAGCCGGUGGAGUAACCUUUUAGGAGCUAGCCGUCGAAGGUGGGACAAAUGAUUGGGGUGAAGUCGUAACAAGGUAGCCGUAUCGGAAGGUGCGGCUGGAUCACCU